GUUUUAUCUGUGUGUCUGGUGUAGCAGACUCUGUGCAGCAUGAGAUUAAAAAAGAAUGAAGUACUGAUCCGUGCUACAACAUGGAUGAACCUCAGAAACAUUAUGCCGAGUGAAAGAUGCCAGGCACAAAAAGCCAUAUAUGUACUGUUCCAGUUAUGUGAAAUGUCCAGGAUGGACAAAUGCCUAGAGACAGAGAGCAGAAAUGAGAGAUCCACCAACAAAAGGAGUCCAGCAAAGGGAAGUCGGAGAAGAAAGGACACGUGGCUGCAGACACACAACACACACGGCUUUCUCUCCUAAAUUACUUCCUUUAACGUAUAUAUGCUACUCCACAGGGAGUGAGGAUGAAGGGCAAAGUGCCUUGGAUCAUGCUCUACAGAUGGCAGAGCAACAAGAUAGAAGAAGGCUGGGUCCUUAGUGACCUCAUGGAGCAGAGCCACUGCAAGUCCUGGACUCAUCAUCUCCACACUGCUGCAUGAGGGAGAAAGAAACUUCCAUAUUAUUUAAAUCAUUGUCAGCUUGAACCUGAUUCUACAUUUUAAUACAUAUCUCUAGGUCUUCCUCAACAAUAUAGUUUGAAUGACUGCAUGUUUUUCUAUCAUGUGAAUGUUCAACAUCAAAAUUUAUUGAAUGAAAAAAAAGUUAUUGAAUUGACCUAAUUCUAACUUGUUGGCCAUUUGUGUUCCUUUCAAACUUUUCUUCAUUUUAAAUACCACUGCAAUAAAUACCCUUGUAGCUAAACCUUCGGGUUUAUGUUACUGAUGGGUUAUUGAUUAUUUCUU
rnacentral:lncRNA from 1 species